GACGAACGCUGGCGGCGUGCUUAACACAUGCAAGUCGAACGGAGAUUAUUAAUGAAGCUUGCGAUUUAAUAAUCUUAGUGGCGGACGGGUGAGUAACGCGUGGGUAACCUGCCCAUAAGAGGGGGAUAACAGCUGGAAACGGCUGCUAAUACCGCAUACGCUUUCCGGGACACAAGUGCCGGAAAGGAAAGAUGGCCUCUACAUGUAAGCUAUCACUUAUGGAUGGACCCGCGUCUGAUUAGCUAGUUGGUGGGUAGAAGCCUACCAAGGCGACGAUCAGUAGCCGGCCUGAGAGGGUGGACGGCCACACUGGGACUGAGACACGGCCCAGACUCCUACGGGAGGCAGCAGUGGGGAAUAUUGCGCAAUGGGGGAAACCCUGACGCAGCGACGCCGCGUGAGCGAAGAAGGCCUUCGGGUUGUAAAGCUCUGUCUGGAGGGACGGAAGGAAGUGACGGUACCGUCCGGAGGAAGCCACGGCUAACUACGUACGCCAGCACGCCGCGGUAACG
rnacentral:rRNA from 1 species